rnacentral:rRNA from 1 species
AGCGAACGCUGGCGGCAGGCUUAACACAUGCAAGUCGAGCGGCCGUAGCAAUACGGCAGCGGCAGACGGGAGAGUAACACGUGGGAACGCGCCCUUCGGUUCGGGAUAACCCAGGGAAACUUGGGCUAAUACCGGAUACGCCCUUACGGGGAAAGAUUUAUUGCCGAAGGAACGGCCCGCGUCCGAUUAGCUAGUUGGUGAGGUAAUGGCUCACCAAGGCUACGAUCGGUAGCUGGUCUGAGAGGAUGACCAGCCUCACUGGGACUGAGACACGGCCCAGACUCCUACGGGAGGCAGCAGUGGGGAAUAUUGGACAAUGGGCGCAAGCCUGAUCCAGCCAUGCCGCGUGGGUGAUGAAGGCCCUAGGGUUGUAAAGCCCUUUCAGCGGGGAAGAUAAUGACGGUACCCGCAGAAGAAGCCCCGGCUAACUUCGUGCCAGCAGCCGCGGUAAUACGAAGGGGGCUAGCGUUGCUCGGAAUUACUGGGCGUAAAGCGCACGUAGGUGGCUUUCUAAGUCGGGGGUGAAAUCCUGGAGCUCAACUC